rnacentral:lncRNA from 1 species
UAUUAUGAGGCUCAGAACUUUCUUUUGCUUCUCUGUUCCUUUCUUCAGAUACUGUAUUUGGUUAAUAACUUUUAAGUACAACCCUUUUUCAAUUCCUUUAAAUCUGUCAUUGCAUUCUACUUGGUUGCUGUUGGUUCGCCAUUGAACAGCAUUUUAACCAAACCAUUUGAUGAUAACAGAUCGGUUGAUUUGGCUCCAUCCAUACCAUGGAAAUUCCAACCGAAACCCCAAUAAAGAAACCAAAGCGAUUGACAUCCGUUGUGUGGAACCAUUUUGAAAGAGUUCGAAAGGCAGAUAUCUGUUAUGCCGUCUGUGUGCAUUGCAAAAAGAAACUUAGUGGAUCAAGUAACAGUGGAACAACUCAUCUGAGGAAUCAUUUGUUGCGGUGUCUAAAAAGAUCCAACUAUGAUGUUACCCAAAUACUUGCAGCGAAGAGAAAGAAAAAAGACCCUACUCUUGCAGUUGUCACCUAUGAAGAAGGACAAAGGAAAGAAGAAACUAUUAGUCCUGUGUCAGCCUUUAAGUUUGAUCCAGAGGUAAAGAAAGAGGAAGUUAACGUGCCUAUCAACCUUGGCAGUGUUAGAUUUGAUCAAGAGCGGAGCCGUUUGGAUCUUGCCCGUAUGAUUAUGUUGCAUGGUUAUCCUUUAGCUAUGGUUGACCAUAUUGGAUUCAAAAUAUUUGUCAAGAAUUUACAGCCACAAUUUGAGGUUUUGACUAAUAGUGCUGUUGAACUAGAUUGUAUGACUAUUUAUGCAAAAGAGAAACAGAAGAUGUAUGAAGCGAUCCAUAACUUGCAUGGAAGAAUUAGUCUUUCUGCUGAUGUUUGGGAUUCAUCGGAAAAUGCACGGUAUAUGUGCUUGACUGCUUUUUACAUUGAUGAAGACUGGAAGCUUCAGAAGAAAAUGCUGAAUUUCAUCACACUGGACCCUUCUCACACAGAUGACAUACUUUCAGAAGUUGUUGUAAAAAGUUUGACAGACUGGGUCAUUGAUCGUAAGUUGUUUUCAAUGACUUUCGAUCAUUGUACGGGCUAUGAAGAACUGAUUUUUAGGAUCAAAGACUGGCUUUCUCAAAACAGGCCUCUGUUAAAGAAUGGUGAAUUGUUUGAUGUGCGCUGUGCAGUACAGUUAAUGAAAUCAAUUGUUUCCGAUGUCAUGGAAGCAAUUCGAGAUGUGACCCACAAGGUCCGAGAAAGCAUAAGGCAUGUUAAAAGUUCACAAGUAACCCUAGGAAAAUUCAAUGAGAUUGCUCAGCAAGCUGCGGUUAGUGGUGAGAGACCUUUGAUUCUUGAUUGCGGACAGCAGUGGAGUUCAACAUACUUAAUGCUUGAAGCUGCCUUAGACUAUAGGGGAGCCUUCUGUCUACUAGAAGAGCAUGACCCUACCUACACCAGUGCCUUGUCUGAAACAGAGUGGGAUCAUGCUAGUGUCGUUGCUGGCUAUGUGAAAC